rnacentral:rRNA from 1 species
AUUGAACGCUGGCGGCAUGCUUUACACAUGCAAGUCGAACGGCAGCACGGGCUUCGGCCUGGUGGCGAGUGGCGAACGGGUGAGUAAUGCAUCGGAACGUGCCCAUUUGUGGGGGAUAACUACGCGAAAGCGUGGCUAAUACCGCAUACGCCCUGAGGGGGAAAGCGGGGGAUUCUUCGGAACCUCGCGCAAUUGGAGCGGCCGAUGUCAGAUUAGCUUGUUGGUGAGGUAAAGGCUCACCAAGGCGACGAUCUGUAGCGGGUCUGAGAGGAUGAUCCGCCACACUGGGACUGAGACACGGCCCAGACUCCUACGGGAGGCAGCAGUGGGGAAUUUGGACAAUGGGGGCAACCCUGAUCCAGCCAUGCCGCGUGAGUGAAGAAGGCCUUCGGUUGUAAAGCUCUUUCAGCCGGGAAGAAAGACGCACUCUCUAACAUAGGUGUGGAUGACGGUACCGGAAGAAGAAGCACCGGCUAACUACGUGCCAGCACG